UUCCUGCACCUGUGAAAGCUUUUGCCACUUUUGCAUUUGUCAUUUCUGUUCACCUCUUGGAUGCCACGAGACUGUGCAUUGUUUUUGCCACAACAGACGCGUGCGGGGCUCUCUCUCUGAUUCUCACCUUGUCGUAUGUAAUUGUGCCAGUGUGCACCCUGAGUAGAUUUUUGUUUGUUUUGCAUUUGAAAGAAGCCUAAUUGACUGCAUAAGAAAUGUUUAGAGUGGGGUGGAAUACUUACGGAAAUAUGAACGUUGUUACUUUUGCGUUUCAAUCAGAGUGGGAAUAUCGGUUGGGUGCAGAAACCGUUGCCUUCAGGGAGUGGGGACCUCGGCCUGCUCUGCAGCCUGAAUGCGCCUUCAAACUCGAUACUCUUGCUUUCCUGGAGGAGCAAAGAGAAGGGCGUGGAAGUGCCUGCAGAAGCCAGCAUGUAGGAAUUUUGCAAAGGCAAUACUGAGACUGAGGAGGAAGAGGAAGCUGACAGGCCCUGCCAUCAUUUGGACUGGAUGUUGCACUUAAAAGAUAAAUAAACUCUUGAGCAAUAAAGAAAAUAUUUUGCUCCUGACAAAAAUAAAUAAGGCAGUACACAAUAUUCAUAAAAUACCAUUAUGCAGAAACGUUAUAAUAAACAGGUACAACAAAGU